rnacentral:lncRNA from 1 species
UAUAUAUAUAUAUAUAUAUAUAUAUAUCUAAAUAUUAUUAAAAAAGAAACCUUAUGACAUCAUUUAAAACAUUAUGGAUCGUUGAUUGUGUUUUCUUUAUAGGUUUUACACUCUUGAAUCAAUUUGCUUACGUCACCUUGAUCAAACAAGAAGUCAAUCCGUUAUAUUAGGAAAUUAAAUGUAGGAAUUGAAUGAAAAUAAUACUUGAAUUCUUUCCAAACUUACGACUACAAAAUUGGUUCCUUAUUAAUGUAAACCUUAAAUUUAGGCUCUAUUUCCAUUCAAAAUUGCUUUUCAAAUAUAUUAUAUGUUGAAAUCUCGGAAACUAUUAAUUUCAAAUUUCAAAAGUUUCGGAUAUUUUUAUGAACCAAUACACUUUCAAGCAUGAUAUCUUCUAUUUUAAGUUUAAAUGAGAUUUCAAUUGAUUACCUGCUAAUUUUCUUCAUAUUGACUUGUAUAUAUAUUUCAAACCUUUUUAAUAAUCGAUUUACACAAACAUUAUGUUAUAAUUUCCACGUAGGAAACAAAUAUCUAAAUAUUAUUAGAAGAGAUACCUUAUGCAUUAUCUAAAACAAUCUGGAUCGUUGAUUGUGUUUUCUUUAUAGGUUUUACACCCUUAGAUCAAUUUGCUUACGUCACCUUGAUCAAACAAGAAGUCAAUCCGUUAUAUUAGGAAAUUAAAUGUAGGAAUUGAAUGAAAAUGAUACUUGAAUUCUUACCAAACUUACAACUACAAAAUUGGUUCCUUAUUUAUGUAAACCUUAAAUUUAUGCUCUAUUUCUAUUCAAAAUUGCUUUCCAAAUACAUUAUAUUUUGAAAUGUCGGAAACUAUUAAUUUCAAAUUUGAAAAGUUUCAGAUAUUUUUAUGAACCAAUAGACUUUCAAGCAUGAUAUCUUUUAUUUUAAGUUCAAAUGAGAUUUCAAUUGAUUACCUGCUAAUUUUCAUCAUAUUGACUUGUAUAUAUAUUUCAAACCUUUUUAAUAAUCGAUUUACACAAACAUUAUGUCAUAAUUUCCACGUAGAAAACAAAUCUCUAAAUAUUAUUAAAAGAGAAACCUUAUGACAUCAUCUAAAACAAUCUGGAUCGUUGAUUGUGUAUCUAUGCUCUAACACAGAAUUCAUUUUUGCAAAAUGUUCAGAAUUUGUAAUCAAUAGAAUAGACAAAAAUAGCACAUGCAUUAAUGAUUUAAUACAUACUCACAGUGUUCUUGAAUUCGUAAUAAAAGUUCAGAGUCUCUCGAUUUAGUUAAUGCCUUCUGCUUCUGCGUCGAGAGGAUAAUUGAAAUGACAGCUUCAUAUAGCUUUGUAGAAAUAGAACCAGAAUGUGAGGCGCGUGUAUUUGACGAAGGUGGUGUGUGAUUGGGGAGGAGAAUAUUUGAUUGUCAGAAUGGGAUUUGCUAUUGUGCGCCUGAAUCGAAUGAUGAUGUUAAUUACGGAUGCAUCGUUACAGAAAUAGCCCCUCACAUUUUUUGUUUUAAUCCUAUAAUAUUUAAAUUACAAAAAACGGUCCUUCAAUUCUUUUUUUUAUUGACAAAUCAUGUGAAUUUUUCUUUUUUAAACUUUUAAGACCAAAUUGCAAAUUUGGUCCUUCUGGUUUAUUUCCAAAAUAUUUUGGGAUUAUACCGUCGGCCCCAUAUAAAAAAUUUAUUUUAGCUUUGGUCUAUGAAAGAUUUGAAAUAAGUUAUAGUGACUAUUUUAUCCUUUAUAUAUAUAUAUAUAUAUAUAUAUAUAUAUAUAUAUUAUUCUUUUGAGUUAUUUAACUAAUUUUUAAAUGAAAAAUAAAAUGAAAAUUCCAAACCCACUCGCUCAUUCCCAACGUGUCUCUCUCUCUCUCUCUAUAUAUAUAUAUAUAUAUACAUAUAUAUAUAUAUAUAUCUAAAUAUUAUUAAAAAAGAAACCUUAUGACAUCAUUUAAAACAUUAUGGAUCGUUGAUUGUGUUUUCUUUAUAGGUUUUACACUCUUGAAUCAAUUUGCUUACGUCACCUUGAUCAAACAAGAAGUCAAUCCGUUAUAUUAGGAAAUUAAAUGUAGGAAUUGAAUGAAAAUAAUACUUGAAUUCUUUCCAAACUUACGACUACAAAAUUGGUUCCUUAUUAAUGUAAACCUUAAAUUUAGGCUCUAUUUCCAUUCAAAAUUGCUUUUCAAAUAUAUUAUAUGUUGAAAUCUCGGAAACUAUUAAUUUCAAAUUUCAAAAGUUUCGGAUAUUUUUAUGAACCAAUACACUUUCAAGCAUGAUAUCUUCUAUUUUAAGUUUAAAUGAGAUUUCAAUUGAUUACCUGCUAAUUUUCAUCAUAUUGACUUGUAUAUAUAUUUCAAACCUUUUUAAUAAUCGAUUUACACAAACAUUAUGUCAUAAUUCCCACGUAGAAAACAAAUCUCUAAAUAUUAUUAAAAGAGAAACCUUAUGACAUCAUCUAAAACAAUCUGGAUCGUUGAUUGUGUUUUCUUUAUAGGUUUUACACCCUUAGAUCAAUUUGCUUACGUCACCUUGAUCAAACAAGAAGUCAAUCCGUUAUAUUAGGAAAUUAAAUGUAGGAAUUGAAUGAAAAUGAUACUUGAAUUCUUUCCAAACUUACAACUACAAAAUUGGUUCCUUAUUAAUGUAAACCUUAAAUUUAGGCUCUAUUUCCAUUCAAAAUUGCUUUUCAAAUACAUUAUAUGUUGAAAUCUCGGAAACUAUUAAUUUCAAAUUUCAAAAGUUUCGGAUAUUUUUAUGAACCAAUACACUUUCAAGCAUGAUAUCUUCUAUUUUAAGUUUAAAUGAGAUUUCAAUUGAUUACCUGCUAAUUUUCUUCAUAUUGACUUGUAUAUAUAUUUCAAACCUUUUUAAUAAUCGAUUUACACAAACAUUAUGUUAUAAUUUCCACGUAGAAAACAAAUCUAUAAAUAUUAUUAAAAG